CAGCAUUCCCAGAUGGUCCCGUUCAGCGGGAACGCCUGACUUCCUGUUUUCCCGGACUGCCUUACUUCCUCUUCUGUCUUCUGUCAGCAAUUCUACACCAUGGCUUCCUCCCCAUAAACUCAAUGCUCUGCGGGUCACUGAACGCGAGGCGUCCGGAGCACUUCUGAGUUGGAUCAGAGUCCAGUCAGGGGCUGGGCCCAAGGUUUGGGCUCCAGUUUUGGGGACACCACUCAGGCACAGCACUGCUGGAGUGGGGAGUGAACGCUAAUGAAGUGUGAUAGAGUGGGGACAAAUCUGCAGGCAGCAGAGACCCCUGGUGGGCUGUCUCGGCUUCUCGAGGUGGCCCCUGGGAGGCCCUCUGCGCCCACCCACCUCGCCUGGCGUUCUUUGUCUUUAAACCAGGACAUCCCCAAGAUCAUCUCUAAACAUCCUCCUCUGGCUUCUGCAAUUGUUCCAGCUUGAUUAUAACACCGUCUCAGAAGGAGAAAUGAAAGACAGUCUGCGUUUCUCAGGAAAACGAUCAAUGAAGGAAAACGAUCAAUGAAUCAAAUUUUGUGGUUUCAUUACUGGAAACCCCGUAGUAUAGAAAAUGUAAAAAAAAAAAAAAAAAAAAAAAAAAAAUCCCGUCCUUGAUCAAGUUGACCGGCUAAUUAACAAGACUUCCAAAUACCAUGCGGGCGGCGACAGCAACCCAAACAUUCAACCGUCCUUGGUCCCGCUAGCGGGCGGGGGUUUUCUUCUCUUCCAGGCCCGGCCUAGAAACUCAUAUUUUAUUCAUGAAAAUCUAGGCCCUGGGAGGCCUCGGCAUAAACAGGAUGUAAAUAUUUGCGGGCAGUGGGGAGCGGUGGUGUUUGAGAAGGGGCUGUCAGGAGCGGGACAUCCAGGACAAAGCUCACUGGGGGCCCGCCCACCUCCAUCACUACGCUGGGGGCCUGGUGGGCAGGGGCCGGGGAGAGCCCGGCUGGGACUCCGGGGGUCCUUGAAUUGAGUCAGGAAAUGUCUCUUAACUGUCCACGAAUUUCAUUCCCCAGGUCCCUUCGUUCCCAUCUCCCCAGAUUCAAACCUGGGACUGGUUUUCUGAGAGGCUGAGGCAGGAGGGUCUCUGAGUUUGAAGCAAGCAUGGACAACUUGGUGAGACCCUGCCUUGAAAUAAAAUAUGAAAAGGGUUAGGGAUGGAGCUCAGUGCAAAAGCCCUGGGUUCAAUCCCCAGUAGCAGCGGGGGAGAAAAGUGUCUUUGAUUCUUCUUUGGACCCUCACCUACUUUUGUGGCCCUGGGCAUCACCUUUCCCGGGUCCUCUCUGCCUCCUUGGCUCAGCCUGGACUGGCCUUGCCCUGUGUGUACAGUGGUCUCGUUCCCUCCACGUCUUCCUCCUGGACUUCCCUCAUUCCCAGAACCCAGGGCAGCUCCACCGCCUGAGCCUGGCCUGGGAUUCAAGAAGCUGUCCCCUCCCCCACCCCAGAGCCUAGACUUUCCAGUUUUAACAAUGUUCCAUCCUCCUGCCUCAGCCUCUCAGGGUGCUGACAUUAUAGGCACUCACUGACCAUUCCCAGACUAAUUUUUUUUUUUUUUGUUUUUACACCUUGAG
rnacentral:lncRNA from 1 species